rnacentral:rRNA from 1 species
CCUACGGGAGGCAGCAGUGAGGAAUAUUGGUCAAUGGGCGCGAGCCUGAACCAGCCAAGUAGCGUGAAGGAUGACGGCCCGACGGGUUGUAAACUGCGGUUAUAAAGGAAUAAAGUGAGGCACGUGUGCCUUUUUGUAUGUACUUUAUGAAUAAGGAUCGGCUAACUCCGUGCCAGCAGCCGCGGUAAUACGGAGGAUCCGAGCGUUAUCCGGAUUUAUUGGGGUUAAAGGGAGCGUAGAUGGGUUGUUAAGUCCGUUGUGAAAGUUUGCGGCUCAACCGUAAAAUUGCAAUUGAUACUGGCAGUCUUUAGUACAGUUGAGGUAGGCGGAAUUCGUGGUGUAGCGGU